rnacentral:lncRNA from 1 species
ACACAGUUCGAUCAUUUUAAUCACUCCUAUUAAAAUCUCAAAUGAAUAUUUGACAUGACAUUUUUCUUUAAAAUUUGUUUUUCUUUUUCUUUUUUUCCUUUUACUCUUUUAAUUCCUUUCUAAUCUCCCUUUUCUUCUAACCCUAGCGACUAUCUGGCGAAGAGCUUCACCACUAUUGCUCCAACAUACACAAAGCCACCACUAAAAGAUAGGUCUCUACACUCUCUACCCAUCCUUCGAUAUAGAUUUUCACAAAAAACGAUCAAAACCUACAAAAGCCCAAGCAAAGGUUUGAAGCUGGAAACUUUGAUUCACCAGCAUCCACCGUUAAAUUGUUGCAAGCCCAAUAUAUGUUAUUCUCCUCGAGCCCUCAUUUACCUUUGCCAUUCGGAUUGUUGAAUGGAGCUCCGAUGCCCAAAUAACCAAAAAGCUUAAAAGAUGAGUUCUCCUCUAUAUGCCUUUUUUUUCCCUUUUUUGCUCUUUCUUUGAUUUUUGCUUUGCUUCUUGCUCUCCUUCUUUUGCUUGAUUUUUUUUUCAUUCUUGCUCUUCGACUUUUGCUUGAUUUUUUUUUCAUUCUUCCUCUAUUGCAAAGGAUUUUUUAUUAUUUAUUUGCUCUUUUCGAUCUGUAGUUUGAUGGUUGAUGGUGUGUGUGGGGCAAGUAUUGCUUGCAGUCUAGGUUUUUAGUUCUUCCCCAGUCGAUUGUGCUUUGAAUCUUUGAGCUUCAUCUUAGUUUCUAUAAAAUGUACUUUUUAUUGGAGGAUUGCUCGCAAGAAUGAGUAAGGCUAUGGAUUUUAAUGAAGUUGGAGAUGGUGGCCACAAAAUUCCAAGUGCUUAUUAGGACCGUUGUCACCACCCUCAACGUUUAGUCGUUCAAUUCGAUGGAUAUUUGUGGCAAAGUGAAGGAUUGAUGAAGAUGGUAGCGAAACAAGCACGAAAUUAGAGAACCGAAAUCUACGCUAAUGAUUCUUUCACUUUUGGAUUAAAAGUUGGGGACUAAAAUGAUAGUUUCUUAAUGAAUAACAAUUACAUGAAAUUUACUUUAAUUACAUGUAAAAUAAAAAAUUAAAAGAAAUAUCCACGUCAGGUUGUCUUUUGUGAUUAUAACAUGAGUGAGCACAAUGACUGAACUAUGUAACGUGUGUGUCUAAAUUGCAAACAUUUUUAUUUUGGAUGCCUAAAAUGAAAAUUUUCAAUUAUAAAAAAAUUUCAUUCUAAGCACUCAAAAUAAAAGGUUUACAAUUUAAGCACUUACAUUACAUAGUUCAAUCAUUUCGGCCACUCUCAUUAUAAUCACAAAUGACAAGAUGACAUAGAUAUUCCUUUUAAGUUUUGAUUUCCCACGUAAUUAAAGUAAAUUCCAUGUCAUUGUUGUUCAUUAAAAAAAUCAUUUUAGUCCCCAAAUGUUUAAUUUACUUUAAAUGAUUAAUAAAUUAUCAUUUUAGUCCAAAACUAAAAGAACAUGUCUUGUGACUCAUUCAUCAUUGGGGUCGAUUUCGAUUCUCUCCUUUCCUCCUUGCUUCGCUACCAACUCUAUCGAUUUCUUCACUUCGCCGUAAACAUCCAUCGAAUUCAACAACAAAACGUCAAUGGUGGUGGUGGUGGUCCUAAUAAGCACUCAUACUUGAGUGGCCAAAAUCCAUAGCCUUGCUCAUUCUCACUAGCAAUCCUCCAAUAAAAAGUGAACUAUUUGGAAAGUAAUAUGAAGCUCGGAGAAGCAAAGCAUGGCCGACUAGGGAAGAACUAAAAACCCAAAUUGUGAGCAAUAUUCACCCCAUACACAUCAGCAACCAUCAAACCCCAACCCAAAAAGAGCAAAUCAAAAAGCCUCUACAGAGGAAUGAAAAAAAAAUCAAGCAAAAGAUAAAGAGCAAGAAGAAAAGUAAAAAUCAGAGAAAUAAUAAAGAAUGAAAAAAAAAACAUAGAGAGAAUAACUCAUCUUUUGGGAUUAUCAGUCAUUUGAGCAUGAGAUUCCAUUCAAAAUCCAAAUGGUAAAGGGUCGAGGAGAACAACAUAUCUUGAGCUUAGGACAAUCUAGCGAUGGAUGCCAACAAAUGAGGAUUUUGAACUUCGAACUUUUGCUUGGGGUUUUGUAGGUUUUGGUCACUUUUUUGGGAAAAUCUAAAUUGAAGGAUGGAUACAGGAUGUGGAGACCAGUCUUUUGAUGGUGGUUUUGUGUCUAUUGGAGCACCAAUGGUGGAGCUCUUCGACCGAUGGCGGCUAAGGUUAGAAGAAAAAGGAAAUAAAGAGAAAAUAAAAGAAAACAUGAAACUAGAAAGAAAUAAAAUCAAAAUUAUUGAACUAUAUAAUAUGAUUAGCUAAAAUGAAAUUUUUUAUAGUUAAAUGAUUAUUUGUAUAAUUCACCCCUCCUUUUUUAUAUUUUAU